UUUAAGAAAUAAGAUGUGCAUUUUGAACAACUUAAAGAGCUCCUUUCCGCCUGUUAAUUGUCUAAAAGACAGAACAAUUACAUAAGGAUUUAAAGUAACAUUCCAGAACUAGUACAACAAUAACUACACCUCAAUUCAAAACUAGUUGGGAUUAUCUAUAGGAAUCAUCCGUAUCCAUUCGGCAAUAUCCAGAAACAACAACAACAACAACAUACCCGGUGUAAUCCCACAAGUGGGGUCCAGGGAGGAUAAGACGUAUGUAGAGUAACUGCUACCUUUGUGGGGUAGAGAGGUUGUUUUAAUGUUUUCGAUAGACCCUCAGCUCAGAAAACAUCGAUUAAUAAAUAUUUUGAUCUCAAAUUAAUAUCCAAACAGGCAGUAAUACAAGCUAAAAAACUUAAUCUUUCGAUGUAUCAGCUAAACAGAAAACUUGAUUGAACAAGCACACACACUCCCCACCCCCCAACGGACAGAGAUACCAACUUUCCUAAACAAAUUUAGGGAAAAAGGACUUCAAAUCUAGGUGAUAAAAUAUGGAAAAGGGCUGAUUAAAUUAUAGUGCACUCCAGUAUCCAUUUCUAUAUCAACAAAUAAUUGGGAAAAUGAACAAGAAAACAUCAUUUAUGAUAAAUGCAUAUCUCAUUUUUUUUUCUUUUCUCUUCAUUAUUAUAUGCAUGACUAAAGUAAAAGACCAAUCUUUAGCUUCUUCUUCACCUCCAUUAAACCCAGUUAAAUAUGUUGAAAACAAAAAAAAAAGUACCCCAAGAUGGUAUAACAGUUUUUUUCUUUUCAUUAGCGAAAAAAAAUAAAAUAAAACACUAUAUAUAAAGAAAUUAAAAACAGAAAGAAAAAAAAAAGAAGAAGAACAACUUGAUAAAAAUAAAAAAUGCCUGGCUCCAUCCUGUUUGCCUUUUAACCACGCAAAAUGAGAAACUUUUUUUCACAUUGAAACACCUACAUUGUCCUCCUCCAACACAACAACAACCACCAUCUUCAAUCUGUGAAAACUCACAAACAACCUUGGAUUUACAAAAGGUAGUAGUACUACCUCUUUCUUCAACAACAUAAGGGCACUUUCGUCACUCCACAUCAUCACCAUCCACUUCUUUUUCUUCCUUCUUACAAUGCCCAUUUUCACCUCAACAAUGCCCAAAAAAACAAAAAUCUUGAACACAAACAAAGAAUAAAAGAGAAAAUAAAUAAAGGGUAUUUAUUUUUUUCAGAUUUUUUUUUUACACUUACCCCUAACAACACUAUACUCAGCUAGUAAUAGUGUAGUAGUAUACUAGUACUAGUAUAUUCUGCAAACUGUUCUGGUUUUUCUGGAGGUCUAUAGAGAGAGAGAGAAAAUUUUUAUCAGAGAAAAAGUGUUUCAUUUUCUUGAUUGGUUAUGUCAAAUAAAAAAAAAAGAAAAUUUAGGGGGGUGGGGGUAAGGGGGUAUAUUGGGAUUUGGGAAUUUGGGAGAUGUUUGGGCCAAAUUAUUUGGAUUUGGA
rnacentral:lncRNA from 1 species